rnacentral:rRNA from 1 species
GACGAACGCUGGCGGCGUGCCUAACACAUGCAAGUCGAGCGGGGUUGAAGCGAGGGGUAACUCGAGUUUCUACCUAGCGGCGGACGGGUGAGUAACGCGUGGGCAACCUGCCUCAAGGACUGGGAUAACAGCUCGAAAGGGCUGCUAAUACCGGAUAAGCCUAUGGCCUCGCAUGGGGCCAUGAGCAAAGGGGAAACCCGCCUUGAGAUGGGCCCGCGUCCCAUCAGCUAGUUGGUGAGGUGAAGGCUCACCAAGGCGACGACGGGUAGCCGGCCUGAGAGGGUGACCGGCCACACUGGGACUGAGACACGGCCCAGACUCCUACGGGGGGCAGCAGUGGGGAAUCUUGCACAAUGGGCGAAAGCCCGAUGCAGCGACGCCGCGUGAGCGAAGAAGGCCUUCGGGUUGUAAAGCUCUGUCUGGAGGGACGAAGGAAGUGACGGUACCUCCGGAGGAAGCCACGGCUAACUACGUG